CCCCUAGGGGCCCCUGGGACGAGGAGGAAGCGCCAGGUCCUUCCCGCCGCCGCCGCCGCCUGCUCCCCUGGCACGCGCCCCGCCGCCCUCGGCAGCCGCAGCUCCGUGUCCCCUGAGAACCAGCCGUCCCGCGCCAUGGGCACGCGUCUGCCGCUCGUCCUGCGCCAGCUCCGCCGCCCGCCCCAGCCCCCGGGCCCGCCGCGCCGCCUCCGUGUGCCCUGUCGCGCUAGCAGCGGCGGCGGCGGAGGCGGCGGCGGUGGCCGGGAGGGCCUGCUUGGACAGCGGCGGCCGCAGGAUGGCCAGGCCCGGAGCAGCUGCAGCCCCGGCGGCCGAACGCCCGCGGCGCGGGACUCCAUCGUCAGAGAAGUCAUUCAGAAUUCAAAAGAAGUUCUAAGUUUAUUGCAAGAAAAAAACCCUGCCUUCAAGCCGGUUCUUUCAAUUAUCCAGGCAGGUGACGACAACUUGAUGCAGGAAAUCAACCAGAAUUUGGCUGAGGAGGCUGGUCUGAACAUCACUCACAUUUGCCUCCCUCCAGAUAGCAGUGAAGCCGAGAUUAUAGAUGAAAUCUUAAAGAUCAAUGAAGAUACCAGAGUACAUGGCCUUGCCCUUCAGAUCUCUGAGAACUUGUUUAGCAACAAAGUCCUCAAUGCCUUGAAACCAGAAAAAGAUGUGGAUGGAGUAACAGACAUAAACCUGGGGAAGCUGGUGCGAGGGGAUGCCCAUGAAUGUUUUGUUUCACCUGUUGCCAAAGCUGUAAUUGAACUUCUUGAAAAAUCAGUAGGUGUCAACCUAGAUGGAAAGAAGAUUUUGGUAGUGGGGGCCCAUGGGUCUUUGGAAGCUGCUCUACAAUGCCUGUUCCAGAGAAAAGGGUCCAUGACAAUGAGCAUCCAGUGGAAAACACGCCAGCUUCAAAGCAAGCUUCACGAGGCUGACAUUGUGGUCCUAGGCUCACCUAAGCCAGAAGAGAUUCCCCUUACUUGGAUACAACCAGGAACUACUGUUCUCAACUGCUCCCAUGACUUCCUGUCAGGGAAGGUUGGGUGUGGCUCUCCAAGAAUACAUUUUGGUGGACUCAUUGAGGAAGAUGAUGUGAUUCUCCUUGCUGCAGCUCUGCGAAUUCAGAACAUGGUCAGUAGUGGAAGGAGAUGGCUUCGUGAACAGCAGCACAGGCGGUGGAGACUUCACUGCUUGAAACUUCAGCCUCUCUCCCCUGUGCCAAGUGACAUUGAGAUUUCAAGAGGACAAACUCCAAAAGCUGUGGAUGUCCUUGCCAAGGAGAUUGGAUUGCUUGCAGAUGAAAUUGAAAUCUAUGGCAAAAGCAAAGCCAAAGUACGUUUGUCCGUGCUAGAAAGGUUAAAGGAUCAAGCAGAUGGAAAAUACGUCUUAGUUGCUGGGAUCACGCCCACCCCUCUUGGAGAAGGGAAGAGCACAGUCACCAUCGGGCUUGUGCAGGCUCUGACCGCACACCUGAAUGUCAACUCCUUUGCCUGCUUGAGGCAGCCUUCCCAAGGACCGACGUUUGGAGUGAAAGGAGGAGCCGCGGGUGGUGGAUACGCCCAGGUCAUCCCCAUGGAGGAGUUCAACCUUCACUUGACUGGAGACAUCCACGCCAUCACCGCUGCCAAUAACUUGCUGGCUGCCGCCAUCGACACGAGGAUUCUUCAUGAAAACACGCAAACAGAUAAGGCUCUGUAUAAUCGGCUGGUUCCUUUAGUGAAUGGUGUCAGAGAAUUUUCAGAAAUUCAACUUGCUCGGCUAAAAAAACUGGGAAUAAAUAAGACUGAUCCGAGCACACUGACAGAAGAGGAAGUGAGUAAAUUUGCCCGUCUCGACAUCGACCCAUCUACCAUCACGUGGCAGAGAGUAUUGGAUACAAAUGACCGAUUUCUACGAAAAAUAACCAUCGGGCAGGGAAACGCAGAGAAGGGCUAUUACCGGCAGGCGCAGUUUGACAUCGCAGUGGCCAGCGAGAUCAUGGCGGUGCUGGCCCUGACGGACAGCCUCGCAGACAUGAAGGCACGGCUGGGAAGGAUGGUGGUGGCCAGUGACAAAAGCGGGCAGCCUGUGACAGCAGAUGAUUUGGGGGUGACAGGUGCUUUGACAGUUUUGAUGAAAGAUGCAAUAAAACCAAACCUGAUGCAGACCCUGGAAGGGACACCUGUGUUCGUGCAUGCGGGCCCUUUUGCUAACAUUGCUCACGGCAACUCUUCAGUGUUGGCUGAUAAAAUUGCCCUGAAACUGGUUGGUGAAGAAGGAUUUGUAGUGACCGAAGCUGGCUUUGGUGCUGACAUCGGAAUGGAGAAAUUCUUCAACAUCAAGUGCCGAGCUUCCGGCUUGGUGCCCAACGUGGUUGUGUUAGUGGCAACGGUGCGAGCUCUGAAGAUGCAUGGAGGCGGGCCAAGUGUAACGGCUGGUGUUCCUCUUAAGAAAGAAUAUACAGAGGAGAACAUCCAGCUGGUGGCAGACGGCUGCUGUAACCUCCAGAAGCAAAUUCAGAUCACUCAGCUCUUUGGGGUUCCCGUUGUGGUGGCUCUGAAUGUCUUCAAGACCGACACCCGCGCUGAGAUUGACUUGGUGUGUGAGCUUGCAAAGCGGGCUGGUGCCUUUGAUGCAGUACCCUGCUAUCACUGGUCGGUUGGUGGAAAAGGAUCGGUGGACUUGGCUCGGGCUGUGAGAGAGGCUGCGAGUAAAAGAAGCCGAUUCCAGUUCCUGUAUGAUGUUCAGGUUCCAAUUGUGGACAAGAUAAGGACCAUUGCUCAGGCUGUCUAUGGAGCCAAAGAUAUCGAACUCUCUCCUGAGGCACAAGCCAAAAUAGAUCGUUACACUCAACAGGGUUUUGGAAUUUUGCCCAUCUGCAUGGCAAAGACCCACCUUUCUCUGUCUCACCAACCUGACAAAAAAGGAGUGCCAAGGGACUUCAUCUUACCUAUCAGUGACGUUCGGGCCAGCAUAGGCGCUGGGUUCAUUUACCCUUUGGUCGGAACGAUGAGCACCAUGCCAGGACUGCCCACCCGGCCCUGCUUUUAUGACAUAGAUCUUGAUACCGAAACAGAACAAGUUAAAGGCUUGUUCUAAGUGGGCAAGGCUCUCACAGGACCCGAUGCAGGUGGCAGCCAUCUCCUCCUCGGCAUCUUGGCCGCCCUCAGACCCCUCGUGAAGCCCAAGAUCGUCAAAAAGAGAACCAAGAAGUUCAUCUGGCACCAGUCAGACCGUUAUGUCAAAAUUAAGCGUAACUGGUGGAAACCCAGAGGUGUUGACAACAGGGUUCGUAGAAGAUUCAGGGUCCAGAUCUUGAUGCCCAACAUUGAUUAUGGGAGCAACAAAAAAACAAAGCACAUGCUGCCCAGUGGCUUCCGGAAGUUCCUGGUCCACAACGUCAAGGAGCUGGAAGUGCAACAAUCGUACUGUGCCGGGAUCGCUCACAAUGUUUCCUCCAAGAACUGCAAAGCCAUCGUGGAAAGAGCUGCCCAACUGGCCAUCAGAGUCAUCAACCCCAAUGCCAGGCUGCGCAGCAAAGAAAAUGAGUAGACAGCUCAUGUGCAUGUUUUCUGUUUAAAUAAAUGUAAAAACAGCCAUCUGGCAUCUUCCUUUAAAAAAAAAGGAAAAUAAAGAAAUAUUUUCUUUCUUUUCUUUUUUUUUUUUUUUUUUGAGACGCAGUCUCGCUCUGUCAUCCAGGCUGAAGUGCAGUGGCGCGAUCUCGGCUCACUGCAACCUCCGCCUCCCGGGUUCACGCCAUUCUCCUGCCUCAACCUCCAGAGUAGCUGGGACUACAGGCACUUGCCACCACGCCCAGCUAAUUUUUUUGUAUUUUUUUAAUAGACACGGGGUUUCACCGUGUUAGCCAGGAUGGUCUUAAUCUCCUGACCUCGUGAUCCGCCCGUGAGCCACCGCGCCCGGCCUGAAAUAUUUUAUUUUUGUUCAUCUUUGUUGUGCUUAUAAUACUCCUGUUUUCUGUUUAUUCCCCUGACUUGAAUCAGAUGUUAGGGGAGUAUUUGAAGCUCCUCGUUCCCUCUCUUCAUCAAUAUCUUCUGUCUAGAAACUAACCAAGCACCCUAUCUGGCUCCAGACCUCUCAGUGAUCUGUGGGAGGCCAACUCGCAGGAUUUCAGCAGAGUUUGCACUUUCUUGGCCUAAAAGAUAAGUCCUUCCAUGUACUCCUGAAACAGACUACUCUUUGCCUUUUUGCUGCAGUUGGAGAAGAAACUGAAUUUGAAAAAUGUCUGUUAUGCAAUGCUGGAGACAUGGUGAAAUAGGCCAAAGAUUUCUUCUUCGCUCAAGAUGAAUUCUGUUCACAGUGGAGUAUGGUGUUCGGCAAAAGGACCUCCACCAAGACUGAAAGAAACUAAUUUAUUUCUGUUUCUGUGGAGUUUACAUUAUUUCUACUGCUUACACUUUAGAAUGUUUAUUUUAUGGGGACUAAGGGAUUAAAAGAGUGUGAACUAAAAGGUAACAUUUUCCACUCUCAAGUUUUCUACUUUGUCUUUGAACUGAAAAUAAACAUGGAUCUAGAAAACCAA